rnacentral:SRP_RNA from 1 species
GGGUCGGUCCAGCGCGGCACAGAUCUGUGAACCCCGUCAGGUCCGAGAGGAAGCAGCGGUAAGCAGAAUCCUGUGGGCGCCGCUGGGUGCCGGCCCGAU